AGGGACAGAAGGAAUUUUCAUGGCCUUCCUAAAUCGUAUCUUAGUUCUAUAGCAUCGGUAAUAUCCACUUCUCAUAUGUUCAAGUGUGAGAAGUGGGCUUUCCAUAUCUUAAAUCUUUUUACACGCUAAAAGAAAUGUUUUGUCUUUAACAGGGAAUUCCUUGUUGUGUUACAGGGAAAUUACUGUACUUCAGAGCAUACCUGCAGAUGUUUGCACUUGACACAUGCUGCAGCCCAGCAUACUGUUCUGCUGUCAUGGAGCAACUCAUGAAUGAACUUCAUUGAAGAUUUUUGGGCCACUAAGCCAUGCUGACAGAGAGUGUAGGGUCUGGCAUCAGUACCCACUCUUUGUGGGGAGAGACGUACUCGUAACAGUAGCUCCAGGCUGCUCUACGCAGAUGGAUUGUUCAGCGUGCAGUACUUCAACCUCAUUUUUUCAUGGGCAAAAAAAGGAGUUAGUCACUUUCUUUGAUCUGUGCCAUACGAAGUUAGCUAACUUGUGCUUAACUUGGUGCAGCAUUCUGAAUGACGCAAAGAGCUUGCAGUUAAAUAUCGCAUCCUGCCUGGAGAGUGCACUGCAGCGCCUUGUCUCCGCAGCUUGUGAAGUCUGAUGGAGGGCAUCAUUCAGCUUUGGGAAGGCCUAACCAAGCAGCAGAACACCAGCACAUCCUGACUGAGGCGCUGCCCUGGGAAGACACAUCAUUAGCUGACAGAGCUCAGCUACAACUAUGUACACUCCUAGCUCUGGCCCUGCUGCCCUGACUCUGGGGAGGUGGAUGGAUCUGAGACAGGACUGCGUGUCUGAGCCCAAGGAAUGCCAGCCAGUCCCAUCUCUGCCCAGUAGCCAGCAAACAGUGUACACACAGCACGACCCCAUGUGUACUAUGGAAACAGAAAUGAGAGUGCUCUGGGAUUUUGGAGACCUCCUUCCCCAACUCCGCAAGGUCUCAGUACCCCCAUGUAUUAUUACUGCAGUGAGGUCUUGGUUUAGCUAUAGGCUUAAUCAAGAUGUCAGUCGUGAACAUCAACCACAGUGACUAUGGUCAAAUCUUGGACUACAUUAUGGCUGCCAUGCAGGCUAUAAUAUUCGAACUAUUUAGAUGCCAGUAACUUCUGACUAUUCAGGUUCUUAACACUCACUGGACAACUUCUACUGCAAGUCAUCUCAACUAAUGUGACAAAGAGGAUGUGGGAACCUUCCAGUAGUCCAGGCUAGGAACCGCUGGACUCCUUCACCUGGGACAAAAUUAAGCAGAUCUCUCUUUCCACUGAAGCCCAGCAUAUAGUGUCGAGGGCCUCCAGUUCUAGAGCUGCUGACCAGGUAUGUGACAUGCAGAUACAGAAAGAGUGCAUGUAAGAAGUAGGUCAGCAAUCACAGUGCCCCCAUCUGCAAACAGUCAGUUCACGCUCUCUCUGCACUCCUGGUCCUUUCCUGGAAGGUGAGUACAAUCGUAUUUUCCCCUCUUAUCUUUGCGGGCUUGCUCAAUGGGGCAGGCACCAUACAAAAUAAGUAGUUCAUAACAUGUCUGUUGUAAUGGGCUGUUCCAGUCCCAUGUUCCUGCUGUCCCAUUGGGCUAGGUGGUUCUAUAACCUAAGGAGAAUUAGUAACAAUGUAUGACGCACUGGUUGCCCUUCAGUCCUAAGGAAGGAAUCUUUACUGUAAUUCAUUUGACAUGUAUUCACUUGAUGCACACUUACUUAAUAUAUUUUUCCAUGUACUUAUCACAGAAAUCAGCUGCUGCUGCCCCACCAUGUCCAUCAUAUACUGCAAAGUACAGGACAUCCUUUGUCAGCUCAGCAUAAUGAAAGCGGUCUUCAUUUUCCUUGCGUUUCCCAAUAUGGCUACUGCAGCCCACAUUGGCCAGGCUUACUUUUGGAAUUGGCUUCCCAUACUUUAUGCUUGGUGGAAGAAGAAUAGGUUCAUCAAUGCGAUUGUCCCAGAUGCCAAAGGUAUCCCAUGUGGCAGGUCGCCCACUCCCAUCUGGAUCGAAGCGGGAAGCACGAUGCUCAGAGGUGGAGCUGUAGCAGGCAGUUGUUGGACGCUUCUCGUCUUGCAAGAGGCGGGAUGUCAACACAGCUCUCCUUCUUACUUGAUACCCUCCAUUCCGUACCAAAUUAAUUAAUGUACUUGUUGACAUAACUUGUCUUUGCAGAGAUUUGUAGGAAUAAAAGAUCUGCAGCUGCUGGAAUGUCUUCUAAAACAAAGAGAAAACUGAUCAGGAAACAAGAAGCACAAGAAGAGGAAUUUUCAAUUACAUCAUUCAGGAAACAAUGUCACCCUUGGAGCCCGCUAAUCAUGCAUAGCACAGAACUGCCUAGAAGAAACUAGAGCUAUCUGCAUGACUCACUGAGAAACAAUCCUACACAGACAAGCCCACAUCUAAUGCGGAGUACUGCAGACAGAUCGAGGUAAGACAUUUCUGCUGGCCACCCACAGAAAGAUAUCCUGCAUUUUCAAAUGUUGAAGGGGUUGUGAUGGAACAAAUGAGAGUGAUAAUGACUUUGCUGCAUGUCAGCUAAAAUAUGAGUAUGCAAAAAUAUGAGGUAAGGUUGUGAAAAUGAGCUUAUCAUGCACGCUCUUCAGACAAUAGCUGAAACAUCUGCACUGUGGCUUCCCAGGGUGAAAGGAAGAAAUAUCUUUGCUUAAAGAGGUUUUUUUCAUUUGCACAUGAUAUUCAGUUCUGUACUCUUCAACAGAGCUCAAAGCUCACUGCUUUACAUGCUCUCUGUUUACCUUUUAAUGCAAUAUUAGAUGAAGUAAGGUUUCUUUACUUAGCACUUACAGAGUAACUGUCAAGUUGAUAAACAUCCAGAUGUGCUGAGAAUCCUUGUUAUUGCACCAAAUACAGGCUAAGCUACCAGGUGAAUGGAACUGACCACUUGGAAUUUUAACAUUUUCCAUUUUACUAAGGGGUGACACAAACAUCCGAUCUGCAUUUCAGUAUACUUACAGGUAUUUAAAAACUUGUUUACUUCCUUGAGUUGCUUUUUCUUUUCUGUUACCCUUGACUGGUAACAACAGUAUGUUAACCUCCUUCUGUGCAACACAGCGUGACCAGAUUGAAAGCCUGCCAAUUAACAAAACCCGCACUUGAUUUCACUUCUGUCAGCUUGAAAGCAGAACAUGAAACAUUAGGUAUCUUUUCAUUUCGCAGUAUCCACAGCAUGAAUCUGAAGAGUAAUCCAAAAUCCCAAGAUAAUUAAUGUAUUUGUUCCCUAUCAAAUUCAACUCUCAAAAGGCCUUUUU